rnacentral:rRNA from 1 species
UACGUAUGGUGCAAGCGUUAUCCGGAUUUACUGGGUGUAAAGGGAGCGCAGGCGGUUCGGCAAGUCUGAUGUGAAAGCCCGGGGCUCAACCCCGGUACUGCAUUGGAAACUGUCGAACUAGAGUGUCGGAGGGGUAAGUGGAAUUCCUAGUGUAGCGGUGAAAUGCGUAGAUAUUAGGAGGAACACCAGUGGCGAAGGCGACUUACUGGACGAUAACUGACGCUGAGGCUCGAAAGCGUGGGGAGCAAACAGGAUUAGAUACC